AAAACUUCUUGUGAAGAAUUGAUGACUAAAACAUCUGCCUGUUAUUCAAACAAAGGAUUGGUGUGAUUUGGCAUUUGAUCGUACUGAUUGAUUUGAUUUGUGUUUUGAUAAUGUUUCAUACAUACCCUUAUUUUCUUUAGUGUAGGUUUGUGUGUUUGAGAUGCAUGGAUUUCCUGCAUAGUUUUCCAAUGGUCUCAAAUUGUUCCUAGUUUUAGCACCAUUGUAGCAGCAAUCAACAUAGAGCAAUUACUGUAUUUACACACAUUUCUGUAGUAUUAGUAAUAUUUCAGGUUCACAUGCCAUAGUAGGUUACACUCUACACAUAUCGGUUACUUAGACGUCACUCUGUUUAAUGGACCAUUCACGUGGUGGAUGACUCAGAUGUAGUGUACUGACGUGAAUGAGUCAGAAGGAGUUUUGCAGAGGUCCAACUUUGCUAGUCAUAAACAGUAGUUAAGUUCUAAAAGCCUUCCGUUAGUUUUAAAGUCUUCCGCUGUCUCCUACAUGGGAAAUGAGUAAGUGAUCACGGGAGCCUUGCUUUAUUCACAACACUAGAGAGACUCCUCCUGGACAGAGGAGCAACUGAGGAAGGAUGCGUCCGUUUGGGACAUAAUGACGUCUUCGAAGGGUAAUGGCACCUCCAGGUCCAAAAGAGCUAGCCAGGAACAAGUGAAGAAGCUGGAUGAUGAGAUCUGGGCAAUCCUCUCCAACUUUCCAGCCGGCUCUCCUCCCUUCCCUCCCUCCUCUUCCUCUGAGAGGAAGGUCCCCAGCGCCUCGUAUCGGGCGGGGUCUCGUACCCCCCUGAGGCCCCCCUCUCCUUCUUCCUCCCUCUCUGGUAUCUCCUCCCUGGUACGGCCUACUAGUCCUCAGCCAGCCUCCCCAGGUCACUCUCCUCGACAGCAGACUCAACAGCGGGGGACCAAGAACAUAGUGGGUCCUCCUAGUGCUCCCAGUAGCCCCAGGUCUACAGGGGCCUCCAGCCAGUACGCUUUGUUCUACAAAGGUUUCAGCUUGCACCCGGAUGACACGCUCUACUGGCAGCUCCCAGAGCAGUUCAAAGGGGAUAAGGUAACAGUACGAGUCAAGCUCAGCCCUCCUGCACCCUGACUGGGUGUUUACCCUUCGGUUAACCAUUUGGCCACAGAACCACCCCACCAUUCCUCCACUCGAACUAUCAGAGCUGUGGAAGGGAAAUUAAGGGAAGGGCAGCACCACCAGACAACCCUGU
rnacentral:lncRNA from 1 species